UCAGAACAGCACUGGUAGAUGUAACGGCGAGGUACGCCCCGGAUUUCUCUCCACACCCCCACCUUCAGGACUGAGGUUCUCAUUCCUCCAGCUACCAGGAUCAUUGCCUGCCGAUGGCGCCUAGCUCUCGGGAUCUAGAGGCCCUGGUGCCCAGAGGGGAAAUACCUCUCUUAGGGCUUACAGCAAGAAUCCCUUUCGACUCUGAGCUACAGCUGCAACCUAGUCACUGUAGAUUACAUGUACCAAAGGCAAAGAAGAGAGUCACCAUCUGGCAGGCUACUGGAGAAAUAUUGGGGAAAAUUGCAAAGCUGUAGCUUCCAAUUCCAGACGUCUCUCCUUAGAGUAGUUUCUGCUUCUUUUACGCUUUCUACCCUCUGUGAAUGACAC
rnacentral:lncRNA from 1 species